CAUAAAACUAAUUUAUUUUCUACCUGUCAUUACGGUUUGGAAGGCGCAGACAAAUGAUGUCGAUAUAGGGACGUCAGAUCCGUAAAUACAGAGGACACUGCUGGUCUGUCGGCUCAGGUCCCAGGGUCGAAUGGAGGUGAGCCGAGCUAAGUGGAGAGGUGACGGGACAGGUGGCGCAACAGCACAGUUUCCAUGGUCACCAAUGAAUCAUAGAUCAUGAAAAGCCCCAUUACAGUAUAAAAUAAAUUCAUAACUCUGUGCCAGGUGGUGCAAGAGUGGAGCAAGAGUGGAGCAAGAGUGGAGCAACAGCGGAUACAGAUGAAGAGAAAUUUUACUAGGUGGAAAGGUGGACACUGGUGGAUCAACCUUCCAUUGACUCAUAUAGUUAAAGUUUCCAAAGGUACGAAUUACAUCAGGCUGAAAGUUGGGGAAAUGUACCUAAAAUGAUGCACAAGACAUUUAGAAUAUUUCCAUUUGAUGUAUGUAUGUAACCAUAAAAACACAGUUAUAGGUUUGAAUAUUUUACUCAGUGAGAGUCAUUUGGUUUGCCUUCAA